AUGCUUGUCUCAGCAGCACAUAAACUAUAAUGGAGACCAUAGAGAGAUUAGCAUGGCCCCUGCACAAGGAUGACAUGCAAACUGGUGAAGCAUCCCAUAUUGUU